UAUACGACUGCAAGUCGAACGAUGAAGCCCUUCGGGGUGAGAUUAGUGGCGAACGGGUGAGUAACACGUGGGCAAUCUGCCCUUCACUCUGGGACAAGCCCUGGAAACGGGGUCUAAUACCGGAUAACACCGGCUUCCGCAUGGGGGCUGGUUGAAAGCUCCGGCGGUGAAGGAUGAGCCCGCGGCCUAUCAGCUUGUUGGUGGGGUAAUGGCCUACCAAGGCGACGACGGGUAGCCGGCCUGAGAGGGCGACCGGCCACACUGGGACUG
rnacentral:rRNA from 1 species